GCCGCCUUAGCUCAGCGGUAGAGCACGGCUUUCGUAAAGCCGGGGUCGAGAGUUCAAAUCUCUCAGGCGGCU
rnacentral:tRNA from 2 species